GCACUGAUGAGGAGUCCGAUACUUGGACGAAACGGCCGUCCAGUGU
rnacentral:hammerhead_ribozyme from 1 species